AACGAACGCUGGCGGCAGGCUUAACACAUGCAAGUCGAACGAGAUCUUCGGAUCUAGUGGCAGACGGGUGAGGAACACGUGGGAACAUCCCUUUCAGUUCGGAAUAACGUUGGGAAACUAACGCUAAUACCGGAUACGUCCUUCGGGAGAAAGAUUUAUCGCUGAAAGAUUGGCCCGCGUCUGAUUAGCUAGUUGGUGAGGUAAUGGCUCACCAAGGCUACGAUCAGUAGCUGAUCUGAGAGGAUGAUCAGCCACAUUGGGACUGAGACACGGCCCAAACUCCUACGGGAGGCAGCAGUGGGGAAUAUUGGACAAUGGGCGCAAGCCUGAUCCAGCCAUGCCGCGUGAGUGAUGACGGCCUUCGGGUUGUAAAGCUCUUUUGCCCGGGAAGAUAAUGACUGUACCGGAAGAAUAAGCCCCGGCAAACUUCGUGCCAGCCGCCGCGGUAAUAC
rnacentral:rRNA from 1 species